CGUAGGGUGCGAGCGUUGUCCGGAAUUAUUGGGCGUAAAGAGCUCGUAGGCGGUGUGUCGCGUCGGUCGUGAAAACUUGGGGCUUAACCCUGAGCUUGCGGUCGAUACGGGCAUCACUGGAGUUCGGCAGGGGAGACUGGAAUUCCUGGUGUAGCGGUGAAAUGCGUAGAUAUCGGAAGGAACAUCAGUGGCGAAAGCGGCUUCCUGGACCAGAACUGACGAUCAGGCACGAAAGCGUGGGGAGCAAACAGG
rnacentral:rRNA from 1 species